rnacentral:tRNA from 1 species
GCUUAAGUAGUUUAUAGUAAAAUAUUGAUUUGUGGUGUCGAUGAUGUAGUUAUUACCUUAGGUU